rnacentral:lncRNA from 1 species
GAGGUGGGUAUCCUAGAAUGGCCGUAAGGGCCUCAGUCCUAUCCUCGGGGUGUGUGGGAGCCACCCCUACUUGUGGAAGGUGGAGGAUGUGGGCAAUGAUAUCCUCCGGAAUGAACAAAGGGACACCGGCUACCGUGCCCUCUAUACCCCCAUCUCUCCGAUGGACGGUACCGUAAAACUCUCUAACUAAUCCAGGGUAUGUGGGGAGAUCUAACGUAAGGAAAUAC